rnacentral:rRNA from 2 species
UACGUAGGGGCCAAGCGUUGUCCGGAUUUAUUGGGCGUAAAGAGCUCGUAGGCGGUUCGGUAAGUCAGGUGUGAAAUCUCCGCGCUCAACGCGGAGCGGUCAUCUGAAACUGCCGUGACUCGAGUCCGGUAGGGGAGUGUGGAAUUCCCGGUGUAGCGGUGAAAUGCGCAGAUAUCGGGAGGAACACCAGUGGCGAAGGCGGCACUCUGGGCCGGAACUGACGCUGAGGAGCGAAAGCGUGGGGAGCGAACAGG